UACAGAGGUCCCAAGCGUUGUUCGGAUUCAUUGGGCGUAAAGGGUGUGUAGGUGGCGCCGUAAGUCGGGUGUGAAAUCUCGGGGCUUAACUCCAGAACUGCCUUUGAUACUGAGGAGCUUGAGUCCGGGAGAGGUGAGUGGAACUGCGAGUGUAGAGGUGAAAUUCGUAGAUAUUCGCAAGAACACCAGUGGCGAAGGCGGCUCACUGGCCCGGUACUGACGCUGAGGUGCGAAAGCGUGGGGAGCAAACAGG
rnacentral:rRNA from 1 species